rnacentral:rRNA from 1 species
AGGGAAAGAGGGAGGUAGGCCUAACACAUGCAAGUCGAACGGCAGCACAGUACUUGCUUGCUCUUACGGUGGGGGAGGGGCGGAUGGGUGGGGGGUACAUCGGACUCUACUUUGUCGUGGGCUUGGACGAAUGGAAAUAUUCGCGGAUAGGGCAUACGACCUGCGGGGGGAAUCAGAGGAUCUUUGGAUCUUGCGCGAGUGAAUGAGCUGAUGUCGGAUUAGCUAGUUGGCGGGGUAAAGGCCCACCGAGGCGACGAUGCGUAGCUGGUCUGAGAGGAUGAUCCGCCACACUAGAACUGAGACACGGACCAGACUCCUACGGGAGGCAGCAGUGGGGCAUGUUGGAGAAUGGGCGCAAGCCUGAUCCAGCCAUACCGCGUGGGUGAAGAAGGCCUUGGGGUUGUAGAACCCUUUUGUUGGGAAAGAAACGCAGCAGGUUAAUACCGCGCUGUUCUGACGGUACCUAAAGAAUAAGCACCGGCUAACUUCGUG